rnacentral:rRNA from 1 species
CAAUGAUUUCCCUAGUAACGGCGAGUGAAGAGGAAAGAGCUCAAAGUUGGAAUCCGGUUGCCCUAGGUAAUUGGAAUUGUAAACUGGAGAGGUGUUUUCCAGGCGAGCCAAGCAAAUAAGUCCUUUGGAACAGGGCAUCAUAGAGGGUGAGAAUCCCGUCUUUGGCUUGAGCAUUGCCUUUUGCGAUACACUUUCAAAGAGUCAGGUUGUUUGGGAAUGCAGCCUAAAUUGGGUGGUAAAUCUCACCUAAAGCUAAAUAUUGGCGAGAGACCGAUAGCGAACAAGUACCGUGAGGGAAAGAUGAAAAGAACUUUGAAAAGAGAGUUAAACAGUAUGUGAAAUUGUUGAAAGGGAACCGUUUGGAGCCAGACCGGCUGUUCUAUAAUCAAUCUCUGCUUCGGUAGGGAUGCACUUGUAGGGCUUUAGCCUGCCAACAGCAAUUUUCUUUGGUGGAAAAAACUAGAAGGAAUGUGGCCUCUCGGGGUGUUAUAGCCUUUUAGAAAAUACACUGGAGGGGAUUGAGGACUGCAGCAAAUGCUUUUGGCGAAAUAACUGGGUGCUUGUGUUAAGGAAGUAUAGAAUUUCUGCUUCGGGUGGUGCUAUGCUCUAAGAUGCAACUCGCUUAGACUAUUUUCUAUUUGCUUAGGUUGUUGGCUUAAUGACUCUAAAUGACCCGUCUUGAAACACGGACCAAGGAGUCCAUCAUAGGUGCAAGUCUUUGGGUUAAAAACUCAUAGGCGUAAGGAAACUGAUGGAUACGAAGGCCUCACGGCUGGCAGUAUCGUCCGGCAAUGACGUUUUAACAGACUUGACCGAGAUAAAGCACUUAUGCUGGGACCCGAAAGAUGGUGAACUAUGCCUGAAUAGGGUGAAGCCAGAGGAAACUCUGGUGGAGGCUCGUAGCGAUUCUGA